AUGGAAGGGCAGUACCAAAGGCACAUCCACAUGCCGAUCAAUCCCUUGAGCAGCAAAAAGAAGAGAAGUUUAAGGGGUGGCAGAUUUCACUUACAGAAUAUAGAUGCAAGGCUCCUUAGGUCACUUUAUCCCGCGAGAUAUAAAUCCUUAAGAGGCUGCCACAUUGAUAUCUGCCAUGCUGCUACCCUUGUUGGUAGCAUGGUCCAAGGAGCAAGCGGUGACGAACAAGUGCAGGUCCAACCGUAUUCACGUACUGUGGUGGACUCCAUGUACAGAAAUAUCUUGAAGGGUAGCCCAGCUGCAGCAGUGACGGUAUGGGACUGCCCUAAGAUACCCCUGCCACGCCUAAUGUGGAGGUUUCUCCCAGUGACAUGUAUCAUAAAGGUGAUCAUGCACGGGCAGGGGAACACACUUUUGGAGGAUGCGAAUACCAGUGCCUUAUUAUUGCCUGAUUUUAUAUGCAACGGGGUUUCAUCGUUGCAUGUGUAUGAUAACCCUUCCAUCACCAGUGUCCUUGCACCUCCCCAAAGAUCAGAAUGGAUCCGUCUAAUAUGGUGCCGAGUGGAGAGGUGCCCCAAGUUACACGCGGUCUUCACUAUUCCCAUGGCCGGCCAAGGUAUGUUGUCUGAUAAUGUUUCCACAGGCUUCCAGAGUCUGGAGACAUUCUGGGCGUCCCAGCUCCUGACAGCACGCUAUAUCCGGGACUGGGACUGGACAAUGGCCACAACGCACAUUAAACACUCUGGUAACUUUGAAAGUCUGGUAUUCUUGCACCUAGAUUACUGCCCCAGGCUCAUACGUGUGCUCGUCUUGGCCACACCUUCGGUCACCUUGGGUGCACUGGAGACCCUCGAGAUAGUGCAAUGUGGUGAUCUCAGAGAGGUAUUCCCAUUGGGACCCGAGCUUCAAGAGCAGGAUAAAAUUAUAGAAUUUCCCAAGCUGAAGUACAUCCACCUGUGUGAGCUCCCCAAGCUGCAGAGCAUCUGUGGGUGUAGGAUGUCUUCCCCUAACCUCGAGGCCAUCAACAUCAGGGGCUGCUGGAGCCUUAGGCGUCUGCCGACUGUCGGAGACAACACCAAGGCCCCCAAGGUGUACUGCGAGAAGGAAUGGUGGGACAACCUGGAGUGGGGCGGCGUGGAGAACCACCACCCUUCCCACUACGAGUCAAGUCACCCGUUGUACUACAAGGCUCAGCUGCCGAGACGCAGUGUACUC
rnacentral:rRNA from 1 species